UGGGCUGUAAACUCAGAAUGUUCUCCCUGUACUUCCCACGCUGCCCACUUGGGGAAGGUAGAAAAUAAGCUGUACCAUUAACCAGCUCUGUACUGGCUUCUCCUGCCACUUCUGGGAACCGAUGUGCCUUAGUGAGGGAAGAAAUGGUCUUAGCCUGGGGGAGCAGUAGAGAUGGCUUGGCAGUCUGGCAAUCUAUGGAGACAAAUGACAACAGAAGAAUAGGUUAAGCUCAGGUAUGACGCACCUGGGUGAAAGUUUUGUUAACAACUCAUGAGGUAAAUGGAGUCCCCCCUUCCAUUUGUGGCCUGGAAUUAUUUGUGUGAGAAGGCUGCAGCUAUUACAAUGUCAGAUGGGCUGAACAACACUCUUUAUAAAGAUGGAUACAGGCCUGAAGCGAGACAAGUCACCGAACACAUGAAGUAGAGAGCCUUUCCACCAAACCUAUCCAAGAGGUGUCCAACAACAGGUAAGAGUCAUAAACUUCCACACCCAGGUUGUAGAGUGUAGGCACACACUCUUGAGAAAGGCCCCAAUUCAAUCUAUUUUCACACAAUGCAGUAAAGGAAGCACACACUGCAAGUUCAUUCAGAAUGUUUAUGCUGUCUAGGUGUUAACCACGCUACAACUGACACACUCCUCAAGCUAUUUAUCCCAUGGAC
rnacentral:lncRNA from 8 species